CUGCGUGCAGAAAAACGUGCGCGCAGGGACGAGCUCGACAGGGAUCUUGGCGAGACCACGGCGCUGGAAGUCGAGUGCAAUCCGAGCUGGGCGAGCUGCACCAAGGAGCAGCAGCCGGCCAUGGGAGGUGGCGGCCAAGCAAGCUGGGGAUGGCCGACGGCGCUGGGGCUGGACGCGCUGGAUACCGAGCGCAAACAGGAAGAAGCGGAGGCCGAGCUGGGCACCGGCGCGCGUCAUGGGAGAGAGCAGAGCGAGCUCCAGCCAGGAAAUUGGCGAGCUGGGAGAUGGAGCCGAGAGGGCUGCGCAGCGGUCAGGCGAGCUGGGCAAGACCUCGGCUGGGCGGACCAUGGCGGAUAG
rnacentral:misc_RNA from 1 species